AGAGCUAAUACAUGUAGUUAAUUGGCAUAUCGCAAGGUAUGUCAAAGCAUUUAUUAGAUUAAACCAUCUACUACUCUGUAGUAAGACGAAUCUAGAUAACUUUGCUGAUCGUAUGGCCUCGUGCCGGCGACGUUUCAAUUGAGUUUCUGCCCUAUCAACUUGUUGGUAAGGUAUUGGCUUACCAAGGUUGCAACGGGUAACGGGGAAUCAGGGUUCGAUUCCGGAGAGGGAGCCUGAGAAACGGCUACCACAUCCAAGGAAGGCAACAGGCGCGCAAAUUACCCAAUCUAGACAGUAGGAGGUGGUGAAGAGAAUUACUAAGUGGUGGUUCAAUGAACUACCAACUUGGAAUGGACGUAACUUAAGCAAUUCGUUGAGAAACAACUGGAGGGCAAGUCCUGGUGCCAGCAGCCGCGGUAAUUCCAGCUCCAGUAGUUUGCUUUAAAGUUGUUGCGUUUAAAACGCUCGUAGUUGGAUCACGCAACGGUGUACGGUAAUCUAUUCACUAGUUCAGAAUGUUCGCAGUGUGAAUCGAAAGAUUAGACUAGGACUCUGUUCUGUGAUAGAUAUAAAAGCUGACCACCGUUAAUUGCACGUGAGAUGGAUUGUUGACCUUUAGUGAGUCGGUAAUCCUGUCUUGCGGAGUGUGCCUUGAAUAAAACAGAGUGCUUAAAGCAGGUUUACGCCUGAAUGUUAUAGCAUGGAACGAACAAUAGUGAUCACGUACGUGAUUUUUAAUAGCAAUAGGCCUAUGGUUUGUUGCUGUUGGAGUCGCGUACAUCACCCACCAAAAUAUGGCUGUUGGUUCCAUAUACGGUGAUGAUUAAAAGGAGCGGUUGGGGGCAUCGGUAUUUGGCCGCGAGAGGUGAAAUUCUUGGACCGGCCAAGGACUAACAAAUGCAAAGGCACUUGUCUAGACCGUUUCCAUUAAUCAAGAACGAAAGUGGGAGGUUCGAAGACGAUCAGAUACCGUCCUAGUUCCCACUGUAAACUAUGCCGACCUGGGAUCAGUUUAGAGAUGCUACAAGCUCUAAAUUGGUCCCCCUGGGAAACCUCAAGUUUUUCGGUUACGGGGAGAGUAUGGUCGCAAGGCUGAAACUUAAAGGAAUUGACGGAAGGGCACCACCAGGGGUGGAGCCUGCGGCUUAAUUUGACUCAACACGGGGAAACUUACCUGGUCCGGACAUCGAUAGGAUACACAGACUGAUAGAUCUUUGUUGAUGCGAUGAGUGGUGGUGCAUGGCCGUUCUUAGUUCGUGGAGUGAUCUGUCAGCUUAAUUGCGGUAACGAACGAGACCACAGUCUCCAUUUAAGAAAUAGAAAAAGAUAGCUUAUUGUGUAGGACUUGUCCUUAUCAGUAGGUUGUUGUUGGCUAGAAGUGCGAUCGUAUGGUGACGUUUCUGAGGAGCAAUCUGAAGAGGCGAAGCUGUACGGUUGAGCUUUUUCCUUUCUAUCAAGCAGUAAUUGGUUUCUACUAGUUGCUGCCUUAUGGAGAGACAACGAGGUAUAAACAAGCUCGAGGAA
rnacentral:rRNA from 1 species